CCUACGGGGGGCAGCAGUGAGGAAUAUUGGUCAAUGGACGAGAGUCUGAACCAGCCAAGUAGCGUGAAGGAUGACUGCCCUAUGGGUUGUAAACUUCUUUUAUAUGGGAAUAAAACGUUCCACGUGUGGGAUUUUGUAUGUACCAUAUAAAUAAGGAUCGGCUAACUCCGUGCCAGCAGCCGCGGUAAUACGGAGGAUCCGAGCGUUAUCCGGAUUUAUUGGGUUUAAAGGGAGCGUAGGUGGAUUGUUAAGUCAGUUGUGAAAGUUUGCGGCUCAACCGUAAAAUUGCAGUUGAAACUGGCAGUCUUGAGUACAGUAGAGGUGGGCGGAAUUCGUGGUGUAGCGGUGAAAUGCUUAGAUAUCACGAAGAACUCCGAUUGCGAAGGCAGUUCACUGGACUGCAACUGACACUGAGGCUCGAAAGUGUGGGUAUCAAACAGGAUUAGAUACCCUGGUAGUC
rnacentral:rRNA from 1 species